AGUGGAGCCGCCCCUCUGUAGAACAAUCUUGGGAAGUGGGCCUGGCUGCCAGGAGAGGUUCUGGGAGGAGGCAAGGACUUUGUCCAUCUUGUUCACUGCAGCAUCCCCAGUCCCUACAACAGUGCCCGGCAAAUGCAAACAUGCGCUGAAUGAAUGGUUAACUUCAGGCCUUGGGAAAGGCUCCCACAGGCAAGAGCACAUCCUACUGGACCUGAGGAAGAAAAUGAUCUGUCCAUACCCACUGCCUGGAGAAUGAUCUGUUGCCAGAAGCUGGAUGACUUCGGGCCUAGCCAAAUGCCAAGCUAUGCUAAGGGAAGUUGGGGUUCUUGUCCUGGAAAAUUGCAGAAUGGACGCAGAGAUCCAUUACUGCGCGCGGCGGGGAAGAGGACGCCGCCGGGAGCUGGUGCGUGACACACUGCAGCCUCGCGGGCUGCCCGGGACUUCAUCAAGCCCGGGUCGGCUCGGGGCGGGCAGGGGUAGGAUCCAUACCGCCGAACUGCGGCCCCGCUGCUCGCAGCCGCUCUUCCGGGAGCGCCCGCUUAGGACUCACUCCCGCCCAUUCCUUACCUCGAUGGAAUCCUUAGCCCUUAGAGAGAGGGCUAAAAAACAAAUAAACAAACAACAGACAAACAAAAAAAAAACCAAAUUCCAAAUGGCCCCCGGACCCUCCCGCAGAUGCAGGGCGCACACUGGCCAGUUCUAACCAUAGACUUGACUGCAUGUUGACAAGGGUUUCCAACCUAGCUUCCCCGAGGUACUGCAUGAAUCAGUCCUUGCUCAGAUGGUGGUUGCUGUAAAUAGCUGCAAUUUCCCUCCUUCCGUCUCAAAGCACGGAUGGGAAUGGAUUUGCAGCAGGGACUCUGCAUUAUAUUUAAGGUCUUGGUGAGAUGGACACGGGCUCCAUCAGCUCCAGACUUCCUGGGACAUCUCGGCAUUUCCAGGUCCGUUUGCCCCAAUGGUGGAAGUCACCGCCCAUAUAUGAGGAAAUAAAUGUCCACACCUAGCAUUUGGGAUAACG
rnacentral:lncRNA from 1 species